rnacentral:rRNA from 1 species
UAGUCCACCCCGUAAACGUUGGGAACUAGUUGUGGGGUCCAUUCCACGGAUUCCGUGACGCAGCUAACGCAUUAAGUUCCCCGCCUGGGGAGUACGGCCGCAAGGCUAAAACUCAAAGGAAUUGACGGGGACCCGCACAAGCGGCGGAGCAUGCGGAUUAAUUCGAUGCAACGCGAAGAACCUUACCAAGGCUUGACAUAUAGAGGAAACGUCUGGAAACAGUCGCCCCGCAAGGUCUCUAUAC